AUGGUCCUUUGGGAUAGUACUUUGGGAGCUGUUUACGUUGGGAGGGACUCCAUAUCCAGGAAUACCUGUUUCCGAAGUGUACAAAAUUUUGCUAAGUGGUAAACGUAUGGAGCCACCUAUUCAUUGCCCUGAAGAAAUAUCUUAUCUGAUGAUGAAAUGUUGGAACGAAAACCCAGAGUUGAGACCUACAUUUUUGGAGGUGAAAGAUAGGUUUGAUGUUCUCAUUUCGAGCAACAAGAAACUAAACCUUGAUGAAAAAAUCUAUGUCAAUGAAAACAUUAAUAAAAACGAAAAGCAGUAAAGCCACAGAGAUCACUGAAGAUUGACAAUUGAGGUGUCCUAUAUUUAUUUAUUCAAGCCCUACAUAAAUAGUUUGUAUUGAAAUCAUUACUGAUUAUGAAUUAGAAUAGUUUUAACAUUAUUACUAUGCUACAUGUUUGUAUAAUGUAAUCAUCCAAGUUAGUAAAGUCCUGGAAAAAGACAGUUGGUGUUGAUGUUCCUGACGUUUCGAAAAACUUAGCAGUAGUCAUUUAACGAUCCUAGGCUCAAACCAUUCAUUUUAUUAUUAGUAUGUCCCAUAAAUAUCACUCGUCUUAAAGACCCUGAGUUAAAAUGCCGUUCAUUUAUGUUAUUAAGCAAGAAGAUAAAUGUGGGGCUAAUAUUUUACCUGUAUUAUAUUCAUGUAAAUGGACGCUACACAAUAAACCUUUGAGUAUAUAUUCAAUAAAA